GAGACGCCCCUCCGGGGCAAGACUUGCUUCACUGGGGCUUUGGUGCUCACUGAGUCUGCCCCCUGAGUGUGUCUUU
rnacentral:pre_miRNA from 1 species